CCUCGGGCGGCAGCAGUGGGGAAUAUUGGACAAUGGGCGAAAGCCUGAUCCAGCCAUGCCGCGUGUGUGAAGAAGGCCUUCGGGUUGUAAAGCACUUUCAGUGGGGAAGAAAGCCUUGGGGCUAAUACCCUCGAGGAAGGACAUCACCCACAGAAGAAGCACCGGCUAACUCCGUGCCAGCAGCCGCGGUAAUACGGAGGGUGCGAGCGUUAAUCGGAAUUACUGGGCGUAAAGCGCGCGUAGGCGGUCUGAUAAGCCGGUUGUGAAAGCCCCGGGCUCAACCUGGGAACGGCAUCCGGAACUGUCAGGCUAGAGUGCAGGAGAGGAAGGUAGAAUUCCCGGUGUAGCAGUGAAAUGCGUAGAGAUCGGGAGGAAUACCAGUGGCGAAGGCGGCCUUCUGGACUGACACUGACGCUGAGGUGCGAAAGCGUGGGUAGCAAACAGGAUUAGAUACCCUUGUAGUC
rnacentral:rRNA from 1 species